rnacentral:misc_RNA from 1 species
AACUACACGCGUUAGGGAGCGAAGCGGUAGCUUAGUAAAAGCUCUUUCCGGCUUUUAAUAACUACAAGCAUAGCGCCCGACCCGAC